rnacentral:tRNA from 1 species
GGGCCCGCGGACCAGCCUGGAGUGGUCGUCUCCUUGUCACGGAGAAAAUCGAGGGUUCAAAUCCCUUCGGGCCCG